GCCAUCACAAGGUUAACAACUGAUACAGCAUUGAGCUGGAUUUUUAGAAUUGCCAUUACUCCCAUAAGAUCCAGAACAAUCAUGGUCAGCACGAGCAAGAUAAUUGCUGAAGUCCAAAAACUACAAGUGAUAACUAAGCAUACAAUAAAUACGGCACCAAUAGCAAUCGCUAAGUUAAUUAGGGCUGUCCUCCAUAUGCUUAAAUAUUGCUCAAAGAACAUAUAAAACACUGCAUACGGGAAGACCUCCAUCUUUA
rnacentral:misc_RNA from 1 species